rnacentral:tRNA from 1 species
GGCUUCGUAGCUCAGCUAGUAGAGCGCUCACCGCGUUUGGGCAUGGUGUUUCUGUGGCUAGUUCGAAUCCAGCCGAAGUCC